GAUGAACGCUGGCGGCGUGCCUAACACAUGCAAGUCGAACGGAGUUUAGCGCUGAUGAAGCUUCGGCAGAUUCUUGUUAAACUUAGUGGCGGACGGGUGAGUAACGCGUGGGUAACCUGCCUCAUACAGGGGGAUAGCAGUUGGAAACGACUGAUAACACCGCAUAAGCGCACAGGAUCGCAUGAUCUAGUGUGAAAAUAUUUAUAGGUAUGAGAUGGACCCGCGUCUGAUUAGCUAGUUGGUGAGGUAACGGCCCACCAAGGCGACGAUCAGUAGCCGGCCUGAGAGGGCGGACGGCCACUAUUGGGACUGAGACACGGCCCAAACUCCUACGGGAGGCAGCAGUGGGGGAUAUUGCACAAUGGGCGAAAGCCUGAUGCAGCGACGCCGCGUGAGUGAAGAAGUAUUUCGGUAUGUAAAGCUCUAUCAGCAGGGAAGAAAGACCUCGUAAGAGGGGAUGACGUAC
rnacentral:rRNA from 1 species